rnacentral:rRNA from 1 species
UACAGAGGGGGCAAGCGUUAUUCGGAAUUAUUGGGCGUAAAGGGCGCGUAGGCGGCUUGGCAAGUGGAUGGUGAAAUCCCUCGGCUUAACCGAGGAACUGCCGUCCAAACUGCUUCGCUUGAGACCGGGGAGAGGUGAGUGGAAUUCCCAGUGUAGCGGUGAAAUGCGUAGAUAUUGGGAGGAACACCAGUGGCGAAGGCGGCUCACUGGACCGGUACUGACGCUGAUGCGCGAAGGCUAGGGGAGCAAACAGG